CCUACGGGAGGCAGCAGUGAGGAAUAUUGGUCAAUGGACGAGAGUCUGAACCAGCCAAGUAGCGUGAAGGAUGACUGCCCUAUGGGUUGUAAACUUCUUUUAUAUGGGAAUAAAACGUUCCACGUGUGGGAUUUUGUAUGUACCAUAUGAAUAAGGAUCGGCUAACUCCGUGCCAGCAGCCGCGGUAAUACGGAGGAUCCGAGCGUUAUCCGGAUUUAUUGGGUUUAAAGGGAGCGUAGGUGGAUUGUUAAGUCAGUUGUGAAAGUUUGCGGCUCAACCGUAAAAUUGCAGUUGAAACUGGCAGUCUUGAGUAAAGUAGAGGUGGGGGGAAUUCGUGGGGUAGCGGUGAAAUGCUUAGAGAUCACGAAGAACUCCGAUUGCGAAGGAAGUUCACUGGACUGCAACUGACACUGAGGCUCGAAAGUGUGGGUAUCAAACAGGAUUAGAUACCCGAGUAGUC
rnacentral:rRNA from 1 species